GACAGCAGUCGCCGCGGUAAUACAGAGGGUGCGAGCGUUAAUCGGAUUUACUGGGCGUAAAGCGUGCGUAGGCGGCUUUUUAAGUCGGAUGUGAAAUCCCUGAGCUUAACUUAGGAAUUGCAUUCGAUACUGGGAAGCUAGAGUAUGGGAGAGGAUGGUAGAAUUCCAGGUGUAGCGGUGAAAUGCGUAGAGAUCUGGAGGAAUACCGAUGGCGAAGGCAGCCAUCUGGCCUAAUACUGACGCUGAGGUACGAAAGCAUGGGGAGCAAACAGGAUUAGAGACCCGUGUAGUCCCUGUCUCUUAUAC
rnacentral:rRNA from 1 species